UGGUACAGUUUUGAAAGGAGCGUAGCCGUACGAGAAAAGAAGAAAGACGACAUCGGUAACCACGCAGUUCCGCGCUUCGCAUUCGAGCAGCUGUAUUACGACGUCUGUUUCGGCAUGUGAUCGCGUUUAUUAUUCGCAAAAUCUCGGUAACGGUAAGAAGCCAUCGCUUCCUCUAUCGUCUUAUCCGUCGAUGCUUGUGCAUUGCGGCCUCUUCUGUGUGUCUGUAAAGUAUCAUUUUUAUUCGUUUUAUCAGCCCAUGCAAUUCAAUGCAUUCAUCUCGCCUUGCCUCUGCACGCACGAGGCCAUUUUAAUCAUGUUGACGAUAAAGGUGAGGACUACGGCGCGAGUUCUGCGGCACGUGUUCUUCAUGUGCUAAGAAGACGCAGAAGAAGAAAAUGUACGAGGGGACGAGAAGCGCGUACGACAGUCCGUUGACUAUUCGGGAGCGAAUUUCACUUCAUCUGCGUCACAGGUAUCGGCGUCACACUGACGGCCAUCUUGGGCACGCUGCUACUGCUCAUCGACUACCUGGUGCGCACCGGCGCCGUGCGAGCCCGAGGCGGCCAGCAGGCUAUGCACGACUGGGGCAGCCACGCGAUGGGCUCGCUCGCGAACGCCACUCCAACUGCUCUGUGACAACUCGACCGCGCCGCGAGUCGACCCCGGUGCAGUGCGUGGAACGACGCAUUUCAUCGACGUGAUGGAACAGGCUCGGCUUCGCCAACCAAAUAAUAACGCACGUCUUAUUUCCCGA